AAGGAAUAUUGGUCAAUGGACGCAAGUCUGAACCAGCCAUGCCGCGUGCAGGAAGACGGCCCUAUGGGUUGUAAACUGCUUUUGACGGGGAAAAAAGUUCGAUACGUGUAUCGAUUUGCUAGUACCUGUUGAAUAAGCAUCGGCUAACUCCGUGCCAGCAGCCGCGGUAAUACGGAGGAUGCAAGCGUUAUCCGGAUUUAUUGGGUUUAAAGGGUGCGCAGGCGGCGAAUUAAGUCAGUGGUGAAAUCUCAUAGCUUAACUAUGGAACUGCCAUUGAUACUGGUUUGCUAGAGUACAGACGACGUUGGCGGAAUGCGACAUGUAGCGGUGAAAUGCUUAGAGAUGUCGCAGAACACCGAUUGCGAAGGCAGCUAACGAGGAUGUUACUGACGCUCAUGCACGAAAGCGUGGGGAUCAAAC
rnacentral:rRNA from 1 species